rnacentral:rRNA from 1 species
AGAGUUUGAUCCUGGCUCAGAACGAACGCUGGCGGCAUGCCUAACACAUGCAAGUCGAACGCUUGUCGGGCUUUGGUUCGGCGAGAGUGGCGCACGGGUGAGUAGCGCGUGGGAACCUGCCCUGUUGUGGGGGAUAACCGAGGGAAACUUCGGCUAAUACCGCAUACGCCCGGGGGCAACUCCGGGGAAAGAUUGAUCGCAGCAGGAGGGGCCCGCGUCGGAUUAGGUAGUUGGUGGGGUAACGGCCCACCAAGCCGUUGAUCCGUAGCUGGUCUGAGAGGAUGAUCAGCCACACUGGGACUGAGACACGGCCCAGACUCCUACGGGAGGCAGCAGUGGGGAAUAUUGGACAAUGGGGGCAACCCUGAUCCAGCAAUGCCGCGUGAGUGAUGAAGGCCUUCGGGUUGUAAAGCUCUUUCGCACGCGAGGAUGAUGACGGUAGCGUGAGAAGAAGCCCCGGCUAACUUCGUGCCAGCAGCCGCGGUAAUACGAAGGGGGCGAGCGUUGUUCGGA